CGUUCUUUUGUGUUCCGUCUGCAUUUCGACAGGGCACAGCUGCACUACUGGACUACAGCAGGCUGAUGGCAUCCGGCGGAGCUUCGUACGGCAACGACGGCUGCUCACCUGGUUCCACAACUUUGGAUGAAUGCAGAAGAAGCCCGGAACGAGCAUUUCUAUAGAGCAAAAUAAACAUUUCAUCAUUUCAGAA
rnacentral:lncRNA from 1 species